rnacentral:tmRNA from 1 species
GCCCUUUCCUUGGGCUGAGGAAACCACUAUGUCAGCCCUGCCGGCUUUCGGGCCGGCUAUGGCGAUAAAUGAGCGGUGUAAUAAACCUAUUGGACCCGGGGGCGGUACCCGGCGCCUCCAC